CGUGUAGCCGGGCCGACAAGUCAGAUGUGAAAUCCGCGGGCUUAACCCGCGAACUGCAUUUGAAACUGUUGGUCUUGAGUAUCGGAGAGGUAAUCGGAAUUCCUAGUGUAGCGGUGAAAUGCGUAGAUAUUAGGAAGAACACCAGUGGCGAAGGCGGAUUACUGGACGACAACUGACGGUGAGGCGCGAAAGCGUGGGGAGCAAACA
rnacentral:rRNA from 1 species